rnacentral:rRNA from 1 species
UACGGAGGGUGCAAGUGUUAUUCGGAAUUACUGGGCGUAGAGAGCACGUAGGCGGAUUUACAAGUCAGAUGUGAAAGCCCGAAGCUUAACUUCGGAAUUGCAUUUGAUACUGUAAGUCUUGAGUGUGGUAGAGGGGGGUGGAAUUCCCGGUGUAGAGGUGAAAUUCGUAGAUAUCGGGAGGAACACCAGAGGCGAAGGCGACCCCCUGGGCCAUAACUGACGCUGAGGUGCGAAAGCGUGGGGAG